GUCCACGCCGUAAACGAUGUCGACUAGCCGUUGGGAGCCUUGAGCUCUUAGUGGCGCAGCUAACGCAUUAAGUCGACCGCCUGGGGAGUACGGCCGCAAGGUUAAAACUCAAAUGAAUUGACGGGGGCCCGCACAAGCGGUGGAGCAUGUGGUUUAAUUCGAAGCAACGCGAAGAACCUUACCAGGCCUUGACAUCCAAUGAACUUUCUAGAGAUAGAUUGGUGCCUUCGGGAGCAUUGAGACAGGUGCUGCAUGGCUGUCGU
rnacentral:rRNA from 1 species